rnacentral:rRNA from 1 species
GGGUGAAAUCAUGCCAACAUUAACACAUCGAUCCCAUCAGAACUCCAUCAUUAAGUGUACUUGGGCCAGAGUAGUAUAGGGAUGGGUAACCUCUCGAGAAGUCCUUGUUGGAUUUUCCUUU